rnacentral:rRNA from 1 species
UGGUGGAGUGAUUUGUCUGGUUAAUUCCGUUAACGAACGAGACCUCCGCCUACUAAAUAGCUGGCUAAGGUUCUAAUAAGUGAAGGGGUGGUCGGCGAUCGGGGCUUCGGUCCUGGUCUCGGUUGCCUUGGAUCUAUGAAAUUCUCGGUAUGGCUUCUUAGAGGGACUGCCCACGGUAAGUGGGAGGAAGUUGGAGGCAAUAACA